rnacentral:tmRNA from 1 species
GGGGACGACAGGCUUCGACGUGGACGUUCCGUGAGGUCGGUUGCGAGUCGAGGUUCCCGGUAGGCCUCGUAAAACAACCGGGACAACCAUAAGUGCGGACAAUCACACGUUCGCUCUCGCCGCCUAGCGAAACCUAGGUAGACGAGAUGUCGGCCUCCCCUCGGCCCGUGGGGGAGAUCGCCGGCAUCAGCUAACGGGCUAAGCCCGCGCCGAGCGCCCUCGGCGGCGCGGGGACAUCAAGAGGGCUGGUCUCCCGCAACCCCGCCGGCGAGGCGAGCGGGAGGCGAGACACAGAGAGCCGGCUACGCUCGUAGAAGCCGUCCUGCACGCGCCCGCGGACCCGGGUUCAAUUCCCGGCGUCUCCAUCC